GCUCGUCCAGCGUUGAGGAGGAGCACCGGCGGAGACGACCAAAUGGCUGGCGGGAACCCGUCCUCUCCCUCUUAUCCUCCGCGCCCGAAAUCGCGCCGCGCGGGCGGGAAUCCUUUGCGGACUCGCGCGCAGGUUCCAUUUUUUCACGGAACCCCGCGCUCGUCCGCCUCGCGCCCCUCCGCGCCGCCUAGAACCGCCUCCGCGCCGCCUAGCGCCGCCCAGCUCCGCCCAGCGCCCAGAACGGCGACUAACCCCCUAGGCCAGGCAACGGGUCUCGACUAGCGACUAGUCGCGUCUAGUCGCGCCUAGGCGAGCGCCUAGCUGAACCUUGGUUGCAGACAAUAUACUUCCUCGCUGGCACAAUCACUGGGAAGAAGCCCGACUAAAUGUUUUCCACCCUGCAGACACCCACUUGAAUUGCCCCAAUAGGUCGGGUGUUCUUUGCCUAAACUUUUGCCGAUGUUUCGAUGGCACGCACAUACGUCCACACGUGGAUCUGGCACAGGUUGAGGAUAUAUCUGCCACGCUACUCGCGGACCUUUCUUCACUAGCUGACAAUCGUGGUUCGGUCCCUGCCAUAUUUCGUAGCCAGGAAGGCACCGCCUCCCAGCAACGUGACUCAUCCCUACACAUAUAGAGUGUGUUUGGUUGGGUGGCCAACCUUGGCCCUGGCUUCCUAGAGCCAAUUUUGAUUUGUUUGGUUAUCUGCAUAGGGGCUGGAGCCUGGCUUAGGCUGGCCAAAAGUAUCCCUUUAGCCUGGCUCUAGGAGAACGACCAAAUUGGUGAUUCAAUCCUGGCCAGGCUAGGCUUAGCUCUGAUGCUUGUUCCCCUCACCGCUUGGCUUGUCUGUAUUUUUCGUGGAAAAAUAUUUCAGGACCUUUCAUGUGAUGGUUCAGUAUACGCUGCUGAAGAAGCUCUCCGAUCAGUGCAUGCAAACUAGCUAGAAAUCAUGAAGAAUAAUACAGAGAUGUUGUAGGGUAUGAUUAUUGCUAUUGAUGUUAAGUCAGCCCUGUAUGAUUGUCUGGUCGUCUUUA